ACGCUUAGUCAAAGCCCUUGAAAGAGUAAAUUCUGGGAGUGGGAAAGCGGCUGACGGAGAGCUUUGGAGCGUAGUUCUUUGCUCCUUUGGAGACCCCAAGGGGGGCGGUUUCCGCCCUCGGCUGGGAAACGCAGAGAGCGAGUGCACGUCGUGACUGUCUUUAUGCGGUCCGGCAGGUGCCUCCGUCUUUUUGUCAGCGUUCCGAGUGAGGGACAUGUCCCCAGGCGUUUCAGCAGGGACACGUGAGUGGCUAACCUUGCCUUCUGUGGCUCAAAGCCGCUAGUGAAAAUGCGGGGUCGGCUCCUGCCGCCACAAAAAUGCAGAGCCCGCAGUGUAAGAACGUGGCCGACAGGCCCCGAGGGCAGUCCAGCUGGGGAACGUCUCAUCCUUUCCAGACGUGCACUUUUAGGAAGAUACACACGGGUCUAAUUUCUGCACGCUGGCAACUGUGUCCUUGUUGUGGUUUCACCUGGCAGAGAGCUAAGCCCCAGACAGCUGCUUGCUGUCGCUGCCCACGUGGGUGGGUUAUGGGGGAGAACUGGCAAGGUAACCGUGUGAGAAUUCAAGGGGUUAGAGAAAGGCGUUGUGGCAGGUGGAAGCAAAGCCGCACGCACAAGCAAAGCAAACCAAGGAAUUCUUCUGCAGCUUCCCGUAGGCAGGCAGACAGACAGAGCCUGGGCUGCUUUCGGGCAAGCAGGGCUAACCACGCGUAGCAGCUUGCUGGGAAGAUGAGGCCCUCACAGCCGGCGUGAACAGCUCCUUCUUCCUUAGGCCGUCUUUUCUUGCUGUGCGUGACGUGAAAGGAGGAUGAUGUUAUUCUAGCCGUACCAAAGUCACCGGCCCGGACAUUCUCGGUGGUUCUGAACGGAUGCUUAUUGUCAGUGAGAUCAGUGCCUUUAGAAGCGAUGAGCUGCGGUUGUUUUCCUUUUGCCGGUGCUGAUGCUGGCUACUUGUGGAAUUGCCAGAAACCGGGUUGUGGAAGCAGGAUUGAGAGAACAGAGUUUUUGUUGCACGUAUUGGAAGAGAGGUGCAGUGCUUUCCCAAGAGAAGGAAUUGUGCAGGCUGUGUCAAAGUGUAAGUCACGCUGCUGGCCUGUUUUGAGAGCAGGGAAGAAAGGGCUGUGGCUGUGAGCGUUUUGCAGGGAGCCCUUUGCAGGCCCUGAAGUCUGCUGCACAGCCGGUUCUCUGUGUGUUGAGACCACUUGUGUUGGGAGCAGUGACCGAGGGGGGCAGCAGGAGAGCCUGCUUUAUGCCUUUGGUCAGUCGCUUCCUGAAGUAGAGGAGUGCCUAGCUCAAUAUUUAGGCCCAGGAGCCUGGAACGUGCUUACGCGUGACAAGGAGUGGAAUAUCAAAGAGAGCCUUGCUCUUGCAGCGCUCUGCUGUCACUGGUGGCGUGCCGAGAGCUCCUGAACGUGACGGCUGCUUCUUCCAUGGCUGUAUCAAACGCUAGGAUGAAAUGACUGGGGCCCUCUGGCGGGGACUGCCCUUGGCUGUCGGUGACUUAGCAGAGGGCUAGAGGCUGCGCACUGGAAGGGCGAGGGAUUUCCCAUCAGAUCCUCACGUGGGAGGUGCGAGCGGGUCGCUAUUGGCAAAUGAGAAGUGGAGCUGGCAGAGUUGUUAGCUGGGAUCAAAGUGCCCCUAGUGCCGCUGGUCUCCAGAAACCCCGCGUCAGACACGAGACAGCCACCAGUGCCAGCACCGGGACGUGUUUGCCCGGUGCGACUGCGUAGGAAUGGAUCAGUUUUUUUUCAUGUGAGCGCUUCCCGGAGCAAGGGAAUUGGGCAGGCAGUCAGAGGGAGGCCUGGGAAUACGAAAGAGUUAAGGAACAAGCCGGGGAGCCGAGCCCUAAGCAGUACAAAACCACGUGGGGUACGGAGUAACAUGAAAUGGCGGCUCCUCAGGGUGGAACACGGACUACGACAAAAUGGCGCCUCCCUAUGUAGCUUUUCUUUUCAGGAGGAUACACUGGACCUGCUGACUUAAAUGGAGAUAUGAGUGAGAUCAAAGGCAGAAGAGCUCUCAGUUGGCUGUACCUCUAGAGACAUGCAAGAAUUCUUUGCAAAGAUGCCAGGUAGGUAGCAACAAAGCCAUGUUGAAAAGUCCAGUGGUGGUCAAAAAGACUUCAGGGCUUUGUGGAGAUGGAUAAAAGGAUCAAGAGGGCAGAUAGUGCUCCCUUCUACCCUUCAAGUUGAGGGAAACGGUAUUGAAAGAAACAGGUGUUUUCUGGGAAAAUCAUACAGCACACAUGAACAAGUCCAGGAAAUUUACAAAUUAUGCUACGGGUAAUUUUUUUUUAUUAUUAUUAUUAUUUAUUUUUUUUUACAUCUACUAAGGGAGCCAACUGGGAAAUCUGCCUUCCUAGAUUUAUUGCCUAUAAAUAGAGAAGUCUUGUAGUUGAAGUGUUUAGUGGCUGUCAUGGGAAAAGUGGCCAUGAAAUCUUUAAGUAUUAAAUCCUUGCUGAUUUGCAAAAAACUAUCAGCUUUCUGAGAUUUUAGGAAAGAAGAAUUGCUCACGAAACAGUAAGGUUUCCCGCAAAUUCACUUUUGAAGGCACAGUGGGGUUCAUAAAUAUUGCUCAUCUUUUAAGAACCUUCUUUUAUGAAAGCAGGAGCAAGCAUGGACAGUUCUGGUGUGUCACAAGUGGAGUAAGUGGGACAGAAGGUUGUCUGGGUGAUGAGAAACUUCUCUUGAAUUUACAUAAGGGAAAAAAAAUGUAUGAACCUUCGAAGCAAGGCCUGGGUAGACAGGAGGACUAUAGAGAUGCUGUUUGCUAUUGCAGGGAGAAAAUGAAUACAGUUAACACUCAGUUGUAGUUGAAGUUGGCCAGUGCAGUGUUGAUGAACAAGAAAGACUUUUUAAAGUAUGUUUAAUAGCCAGAGGAAGAAUAUAGAAAACUGUUAAGUUAAUUCAUAAGGUCACCUCACAAAAAGGGGUGAAUAUAAAGCUGAAAUGUUUAAUGCCUUCUUUUGGUUUAAUGGAGCCCUGGCCUGGAAUACCAUGUUUGGGUGAGAAAUAAGCUUCUAGCUGAAGCUGAGCUUGUUCAGGAUUUCCUGCUUCAGUUGAAUGCAUGUAAGUCUAUGGGGCCUGAUGAGGUAUGUCCCAGAGUACUGAAAAUGCUGGUCUAUGUUACUGUGAGAACACUCACAGUUAUGAAUAAUCUUGGGAAUAUGGAGAGUCCUAGUCAACUGGGAAGUUGCCUUGCUCCAAUUACAGGAGAGAGUGGAGAUUAUUUUAUAUAUAUAUAUACACACAAGGGAGAGGAUAAGACACAAUGGGUCAAAUAUCACCCUGAAGAGUUUAUUACAAAUCCUAGUUGUUUAGGGAAGUGGGACAGGAAGAUGGGCGAUAAAAAAGAGUUAGGAAAUACAAUGAGGGAAUUUUUGGAGAAAGCAAGAGAGAGAUAGUCAUAGUUGAGAUUCUAGCAUAGCUCAUAGCUCAUAAUCCAGAGAAAAUACUCUGUAUCAGACAUAGGAAUAAAAAUUAUGGCAGAAAGCUUCGCAAAAAGCUUAUGGGAAAAAAUUUCUGUGCUACCAGACAACCACAAGAGACAACUUUUAAGUUGCAAGGUUAAGAUGUUUCCCAAUGCUUCAUAUCAGAAUUUCAAUUCUAACAUUUUGGGGGAAUUUUAAAGCUUUCCAUGUUUUGUACACUUCUAAACAGAAUUUGGCACCUGGAAUAGUAAAACUGUCUAAUGGUAAGAGGAAUCAAGUCAAUAUGAUGAUCAUCAGUGUUAACAUGCUUAAUUCCAGUUUACCACUAUCUCUUAGAUGGAUGCUACAAGGAUGUAAGCUGCAGAAAUUGUGGCAGAUAAAUUUUACUUAGGAGAACUGUUUCUUCCACUGCUCUGGAAUUGUGCCAUCAGUGUCAUGAGGAGGGGCCUGUCAGGAUUAUGACAGUGACUGCACAGAGGUUGCCAAAGGAGACUUGGCCUGCUUGACCAACUGGUGUUUGUAAAUAACAUGCACAAUAUGGUAACCUUAUAGGUUACAGCAGAUACUAUCAGCUCACAUCCUCCCCACAUGCUCCAGAGCAGGGCCAUUUGGCCCAAAGUGAGGGGUAGUCCUGGUGAAUGUAUGAUACCAGCCUAUCUCCUCUCCCAACUCUGCUACAGCAUCAAAACCUAACCAGCAGUUACUACUGUGGUCUCACUGCUAAGCCCUAGGGCAGGAUAUCUGAGCCCAUCAUCCCUCUUACCAGAGAACCUAAGCUCUUGAGAAGGAUGAAUAUGAAAGAUGUAGCAGCAUUCACCUGCUAUCAAAUUCCUCUGAAAGUCCCUCUGAAAGGAAACCAAAAAGGCAUUAAAAAAACUGAAUGUGUGGUUAAUUAUAUUUAAGAUGCUAUUUGCCUAUAGUAUUUAAAUGUCUGUCACAUAGUCAAGAGUAAAUGAAUAUAAUUUUACAUAUUCAGCAUUUUGAUACACAGUAGAGAACUAAAAGUGUAAUAAAGGCACAUGGGAAAUUAAUAUUUCCUCAACUUACAUAUCAAAUUCUGCAGCACCAGAUAAAAGCUUGGAAUAAGAAUUUAAGCUGCAGUAUUACAAGUGCUACUAAAUAAACCAAGAGACAUACCUAUAUUAAACAUAAGAGAAACAAAACAAAUGAUACAAGGGUUUAAUUUUUAAGAUUUGAUACAAGAUUAAUAUACUAAUAUUUUUAAUGUCCCAGUUUCAAAUUAAUAAAUAUAAAACAGUAUAAAAAUUGUUGAUAAAAGUUGAUAAAAGAGUAUACUGUGCAAGGUUAGAAAGCAAAAUUUCACUUUCAAAUAUAUGCAGGUAUGUCUUUAGGGAGAGGAUUUCUGUGUAGCUGCAACUGGACUUUCGGAAGAUGUCCAAGCUUGUGAGCUACUUGAUGUGCCGCAGCUGUGCAGUGUGCUUCUUAAGAAAAUCUUCUCACUUUGAUUCAUCUUCCAGGCUCUGAAAUGAAAAAAAAAAACAAAAAGGUUUAUUAUUAUUAAAAGAUUUAUUAUUAUUUUUUCACAUCUAAAGUUAACUCUGAAAGUAAAAGUAGCUUUUCUAAAUAUUAGGACAAUUGACAUGGACUAUAGUCACCUGGAAAAGCUGAUCCCAUUUUGUAGGUAUUUCAGAACAGACAUACAAAUUUGGGAAAUUCAUUGGUCACAACAAAAAAGUCACUGAAAGAGCUUCAUAUCAAUCAGCUCUUCUAUAUCACCAAACCCAAACACUAGCACAUGUACUGCUUUUAAACAUUAUUAUCAUCUGAUUAACUCCCCUCAACUGGGGGGAGUUGUCCUUGAAAGCAGGUCUGCGGAGAAGGACUUGAGGCUGUGGUGAAUGAAAAGCUGGACAUGAGCCAGGAGUGUACACUUGCAGUUCAAAAGGCCAACUGUGUUCUGGGCUGCAUCAAAAGAGUAGUGGUCGGUAGGGAGAGGGAAGUGAUUUUCUUGUGAUGCUCUCAUGAGGCUCCCAUCUGGAGUACUGCAUCCAGGCCUGGAGCCCCUAGAUCAAGAAGGAUGUGGAGCUCUUGGAACAAGUCCAGAGAAGGAUCACUAAGAUGAUCAGAGGGCUGGAGCAUCUCUCCUAUGAAGAAAGGCUGAGAGAACACGGCUUGUUUAGCUUGAUGAAGAGAAGGCUCCAGGGAGACCUCACUGUGGUCUUCCAAAACUUGAAUGGAGCAUAUACACAGGAGGGGGAAUGGCUGUUUACAAGGAUGGAUAGUGAUAAGACAAGGGGGAAUGAUUUUAAACUGAGGCAGGGGAAGUUUAGGUUAGAUAUUAGGAGGAAGUUUUUCAUUCAGAGAGUGGUUGUGCAAUGGAACAGGUUGCCCAAGGAGGUUGUGGAUGCCCCAACCCUGGAGGAUUCAAGUCCAAGUUGGAUGUGAUUCUGGGCAGCCUGGUCUAUAGCAACCCUGCCUAUAGCAGGGGGGAUUGAAACUUGAUGAUCAUUGUGGUCCUUUUCAAUCCAGGCCAUUCUAUUAUUCUAUGAUUCUGUGAUUUUAUGAUUCUGUGAUAUACUGUGAUUCUAUGAUUAAUAGCUUGUAGUUCAGAUGUUGGCCUUCAGUAAUGAAGGGUCAUCAGAAGUUGUGUUGUAUAGUUGACAGCAGCUACCGGUGACAGUACAAACAUAUAAGUCCAAAGUGGUUGAGUCAGUUCUCUUUGGAGUGAUAGUUUCUGAGAUUUGGACCUCAGCAGGAAAUAAUUUGCCCAUUUUCUGGGCCUUGCCAGCAGAUAAGAGGUAUCAAGGCAGCACCCACUUGCAUUUUACCUUCACAGCAUACAAUAGCAUCAUUCCCCAAUCUCCUGGACCAUGCUGCAGUUUCCUGAUCACAAAUCAGAUCUUCUGUCAGUAAACACGUAUAGUCAUUCAGAUGUAAAACUGUCCAUUAGGUGAUGUUAACUGCUACACAGUGAUAGCCACAAUUUUUUUUCGAGAUAAGUAAGAGUACUAUAGCAAAAAAUGCCCCAGAAAAUGAACUUUGAGCCAAGAAAAAAAAAAAAAAAAAAAAAAGGAGAAUCCAGUCAUAAGUAGUAAAAGUUGUUUCAGUUUUCAGGCAGGAUAAAUAAAAAAACAUUGCAGCUAUGGGUCAGUACAUUUUAUUUCCUAGCUUGCAAAAAAUAGAGGAUUAAUUAAAGAGAAUAGUCAGUAAUCGAAGAAUACAUAGGCACACAAAGGGAAAUUCAUGAAAAAAGGCAAUUAAAUUUUAUGAAAAGAUUAAACAUCUAGUGAAUAAAAAGAGAGUGUAGUAUGUUGGGUUUUUGUAUUAUAGCAAAGAUAUUGGGAGUGUUAUUCAAAACAGAAUUAAGAAAAAAAUAACGAGAAUAAAACUGAAAAAGAACAAAGUAAAAUGAGAUAAAAACAGGCAGGAAGGCUGAUUUGAAAGUGCUGUAAUGAAGAGACUAAACAGAAGCAGAAAAAACACUGCCUCAUAAAGAAUAAAUUAAAAAAAAACACUUGAAAUGAAAACAAAAAGAAAAAAAGACAUGUAUAAAAAGAAGAUGAAAGUCAAUAAAUAUUACAGAAAGUACUAAGCAAAGGCAUACUAUAGGCUACAUAACGCAUGGCGGUAGUACACAAUAAGAAUCAGAAAACCCCUAGGCUCUUUAUGGGCGUGGCUAAACAAGAAAAGCAGUACUUUCAUCAAAAAUGCAAACAGUGAUGGUGUAAAUAUUGGCAGAAUGAAACUAGGGGCAAAAAGGUAAUGUGAAGAUGAAGGGGUCGGGGCCGGUAGCGGUCAGUCUCUCCACAGCUCUGCUCUGCCACUCCAUCCUUCCUCCUCACGCUUCUCCGCUGUACCUGUGUGGGCUCUGAGCAGGCUGCAGCAUCCCUUGGGGUAUAGCGGCGUGCCCGCCGCCUCCAGCAGGGGCUGCGGGAGAGUCUCUGAGAGUCCUAGUGCUUGGAGCACCUCCUUCUUUUUCUCCUCCUGCCCAUGCUUUGUCUCCGCUCUUUGCUCGGGCGCCACCUCCUCCUCCUCACGCUCCGCCUCCUUCUCCUCCUCCCUCUCCACCGCGCGCUCCUCAGCAUCUCUCCUCGGCAUUCACGCGGCUGUUUCUCACGCUUUUCCACCCUCUUUCCCCACUGCUGGGCAGCAUCCUGCCCCGUCUCGCCCUUUCCCAGGCACGUUUUGCCCAGGACGCCUCCACCUUGCGUGCAGGGCUCAGUUGUGCCUUGUGGCAGUGCCGCUGGAGCUGGGUGGAAACGGCUGGUUUUCACACGGGGCAUUCCUGCCUUCUCCUCAGAGGCAGCCGGCAAGCCACAGUGCCAGCACCUGGGCCCCUGCCCCCCUACCGCCGGGACGAUUGUAUCAAAACAAAUGUAUUUUAACAUCAGAGCACUUUGUGGGCCAGAGGAGUUGGGCAGCCAAUUAGAGGGAAUCCUGAGAAGGCGGCUGCCAUUAGAAGAGAGGCCAAUCUCAGAGCAGUACGGAAACACGUGGCUGACCAAGUGUCACAAAAUGGUGGCUCCCGUCUGUGGAAUUCAAGCUGGAACAAAAUGGCGCCUCCGCCGGCUCAUGAAAUGGCGGCUCCUCACCCUGGGAUGCAGACUGGAACAAAAUGGCGCCUCCCUGUGUAGGUAGGUGGGAGGGAUUUUCUGUCCUGUCCCAUCCUACCGGCGGGCGGGCCCAGUAGCUCUGGGUCCUCCCCUUCACCCGCAGCUCUAUCCCUGCCCUGGCACGCACUCCUCCCAGCGCCUCCAGCUGGUAGCCGGGAAGAACGGCAGGCUGGAGGAACCGCUGUUCUGAGCAGCUACAGGCGCCGGCCGUGCUGCCCGGCGGCUCUCCGGCCGAGCGGCUGGAGGUGCUCUGCUGUGCAUCACGCGUAGCUGAACGAGCCCAAAUCCAGAAUUCGGGGCAUGUGGGAAGAUGCUAGGCAUGGCUUUUGAGGAGUGGUUUUCCGCACCGGCUCGGUUUUCUGCCAAGCCUCCACCCUCUUGAAGCUCCCCCAACCGCUGAUGUGCCAGUGGCUUUUCUGCAGACUGGGAAAGGGCAGGUCGCUGACAUGGCCUUGUGCUUACGUUGGACCGUUUCUAUUCCCCCUGAAAGUCAAAUUCUUUAUUGUGUUAGCUGGCAGGAAGGAACGCCCUGCCCAUUUCACAUCUACCCCUUUAGGAAUACAGGCAUACGUUUAACUGCUCGACCUAGCUGCCUGUGUGCCUGUUAUGUGUACUUGUUGCUGCUUAACCUGGCAGAAAACCGAACACCACGCAGUCUCCCCAGCUGCGGUGGGGAAAGUAUCGGAAGGAUGAAACUGGGAGCACACACGGGUUUAGGCAAAGACCGUUUACUCGGUAAAAGAAAACCCACGCCUGCAAGCCAAGGGAAACAUUUGCCACUUCUCUUUAAUGGGCAAGCAUCCAGCCACUUCUAGGAUCCCAGGGCUCAGUGCACAUCACAAGCUCUUCUCUCGUUCUGUAUGCAGUGUAGCUGAUGGGAAGGUUAAGAAAAGCUUUGCUUACCUUUAUGAAGUUCUUUGUGCGUUUCAACGUAUGCGUAAUUGGUAUAUAUAGCUGUGUCAGGCUGACGUUGGCCAGCAGCCUGGUGCUGUCCGAUCUGUGUCCCGUGCCAUCUUCUGGUGCACUCCCAGCCUCCUUGCGGGCAGGGUGCCGUAAGAAGCAGAAAAGUCCUGGGCUCUGUGUGGGCGCUGCUCUGCAACAAGAGCAGGAACUGCAGCAUGGAUGUGUUGGCACCACCAUUUUGGUCAAGAAAUGCAAAAGAGCCCGUCAAACUGUACGAGGCGGUACGAGGAAAAGGAGCAGUAUCCCAGACAACUGCCGAGUGUAGUAUAGCAGUACGGUACAGAGAGUAGUCCGGCAUCUAGUGUAGCUACGUAGCAAUGGAGAAAAUAUUUUCAAUUACACUGAUCAAGUCCUUUCUAUAAUUCUGGACCUGAAUACAUUGUAGAGAUUGCUGAGGUGGGCUGGCCUCGGCCAGCAGCCCAAUGCGCACCCAGCUACCGUCUCACUCAGUGUCCUCAACGGGACGGAGUAGGGUACAGGACGGGAAUUCUCGUGGGUCAAGAUAAGGCUAGGGAGCUCGCUCACCAGAGGCGGAGCAGAACAGACGUGGGGGAAGCUGCUUGAUGUCACUGCACAUUUUUGGACGUUGGACAUUUUGGAGCAUUUGGAUGGUGAGAAACGAAAGCACCAGACCGCCCUGAACUUCUUCCCCGAGCUCAAACGCCCUCCUUCACGCGUGAGUCCUGACCUCCCCGCAGCGUGAGAGGUGCAGGGGUCGGGGCCGGUAGCGGUCAGUCCCUCCACAGCUCUGCUCUGCCACUCCAUCCUUCCUCCUCACGCUUCUCCGCUGUACCUGUGUGGGCUCUGAGCAGGCUGCAGCAUCCCUUGGGGUAUAGCGGCGUGCCCGCCGCCUCCAGCAGGGGCUGCGGGAGAGUCUCUGAGAGUCCUAGUGCUUGGAGCACCUCCUUCUUUUUCUCCUCCUGCCCAUGCUUUGUCUCCGCUCUUUGCUCGGGCGCCACCUCCUCCUCCUCACGCUCCGCCUCCUUCUCCUCCUCCCUCUCCACCGCGCGCUCCUCAGCAUCUCUCCUCGGCAUUCACGCGGCUGUUUCUCACGCUUUUCCACCCUCUUUCCCCACUGCUGGGCAGCAUCCUGCCCCGUCUCGCCCUUUCCCAGGCACGUUUUGCCCAGGACGCCUCCACCUUGCGUGCAGGGCUCAGUUGUGCCUUGUGGCAGUGCCGCUGGAGCUGGGUGGAAACGGCUGGUUUUCACACGGGGCAUUCCUGCCUUCUCCUCAGAGGCAGCCGGCAAGCCACAGUGCCAGCACCUGGGCCCCUGCCCCCCUACCGCCGGGACGAUUGUAUCAAAACAAAUGUAUUUUAACAUCAGAGCACUUUGUGGGCCAGAGGAGUUGGGCAGCCAAUUAGAGGGAAUCCUGAGAAGGCGGCUGCCAUUAGAAGAGAGGCCAAUCUCAGAGCAGUACGGAAACACGUGGCUGACCAAGUGUCACAAAAUGGUGGCUCCCGUCUGUGGAAUUCAAGCUGGAACAAAAUGGCGCCUCCGCCGGCUCAUGAAAUGGCGGCUCCUCACCCUGGGAUGCAGACUGGAACAAAAUGGCGCCUCCCUGUGUAGGUAGGUGGGAGGGAUUUUCUGUCCUGUCCCAUCCUACCGGCGGGCGGGCCCAGUAGCUCUGGGUCCUCCCCUUCACCCGCAGCUCUAUCCCUGCCCUGGCACGCACUCCUCCCAGCGCCUCCAGCUGGUAGCCGGGAAGAACGGCAGGCUGGAGGAACCGCUGUUCUGAGCAGCUACAGGCGCCGGCCGUGCUGCCCGGCGGCUCUCCGGCCGAGCGGCUGGAGGUGCUCUGCUGUGCAUCACGCGUAGCUGAACGAGCCCAAAUCCAGAAUUCGGGGCAUGUGGGAAGAUGCUAGGCAUGGCUUUUGAGGAGUGGUUUUCCGCACCGGCUCGGUUUUCUGCCAAGCCUCCACCCUCUUGAAGCUCCCCCAACCGCUGAUGUGCCAGUGGCUUUUCUGCAGACUGGGAAAGGGCAGGUCGCUGACAUGGCCUUGUGCUUACGUUGGACCGUUUCUAUUCCCCCUGAAAGUCAAAUUCUUUAUUGUGUUAGCUGGCAGGAAGGAACGCCCUGCCCAUUUCACAUCUACCCCUUUAGGAAUACAGGCAUACGUUUAACUGCUCGACCUAGCUGCCUGUGUGCCUGUUAUGUGUACUUGUUGCUGCUUAACCUGGCAGAAAACCGAACACCACGCAGUCUCCCCAGCUGCGGUGGGGAAAGUAUCGGAAGGAUGAAACUGGGAGCACACACGGGUUUAGGCAAAGACCGUUUACUCGGUAAAAGAAAACCCACGCCUGCAAGCCAAGGGAAACAUUUGCCACUUCUCUUUAAUGGGCAAGCAUCCAGCCACUUCUAGGAUCCCAGGGCUCAGUGCACAUCACAAGCUCUUCUCUCGUUCUGUAUGCAGUGUAGCUGAUGGGAAGGUUAAGAAAAGCUUUGCUUACCUUUAUGAAGUUCUUUGUGCGUUUCAACGUAUGCGUAAUUGGUAUAUAUAGCUGUGUCAGGCUGACGUUGGCCAGCAGCCUGGUGCUGUCCGAUCUGUGUCCCGUGCCAUCUUCUGGUGCACUCCCAGCCUCCUUGCGGGCAGGGUGCCGUAAGAAGCAGAAAAGUCCUGGGCUCUGUGUGGGCGCUGCUCUGCAACAAGAGCAGGAACUGCAGCAUGGAUGUGUUGGCACCACCAUUUUGGUCAAGAAAUGCAAAAGAGCCCGUCAAACUGUACGAGGCGGUACGAGGAAAAGGAGCAGUAUCCCAGACAACUGCCGAGUGUAGUAUAGCAGUACGGUACAGAGAGUAGUCCGGCAUCUAGUGUAGCUACGUAGCAAUGGAGAAAAUAUUUUCAAUUACACUGAUCAAGUCCUUUCUAUAAUUCUGGACCUGAAUACAUUGUAGAGAUUGCUGAGGUGGGCUGGCCUCGGCCAGCAGCCCAAUGCGCACCCAGCUACCGUCUCACUCAGUGUCCUCAACGGGACGGAGUAGGGUACAGGACGGGAAUUCUCGUGGGUCAAGAUAAGGCUAGGGAGCUCGCUCACCAGAGGCGGAGCAGAACAGACGUGGGGGAAGCUGCUUGAUGUCACUGCACAUUUUUGGACGUUGGACAUUUUGGAGCAUUUGGAUGGUGAGAAACGAAAGCACCAGACCGCCCUGAACUUCUUCCCCGAGCUCAAACGCCCUCCUUCACGCGUGAGUCCUGACCUCCCCGCAGCGUGAGAGGUGCAGGGGUCGGGGCCGGUAGCGGUCAGUCCCUCCACAGCUCUGCUCUGCCACUCCAUCCUUCCUCCUCACGCUUCUCCGCUGUACCUGUGUGGGCUCUGAGCAGGCUGCAGCAUCCCUUGGGGUAUAGCGGCGUGCCCGCCGCCUCCAGCAGGGGCUGCGGGAGAGUCUCUGAGAGUCCUAGUGCUUGGAGCACCUCCUUCUUUUUCUCCUCCUGCCCAUGCUUUGUCUCCGCUCUUUGCUCGGGCGCCACCUCCUCCUCCUCACGCUCCGCCUCCUUCUCCUCCUCCCUCUCCACCGCGCGCUCCUCAGCAUCUCUCCUCGGCAUUCACGCGGCUGUUUCUCACGCUUUUCCACCCUCUUUCCCCACUGCUGGGCAGCAUCCUGCCCCGUCUCGCCCUUUCCCAGGCACGUUUUGCCCAGGACGCCUCCACCUUGCGUGCAGGGCUCAGUUGUGCCUUGUGGCAGUGCCGCUGGAGCUGGGUGGAAACGGCUGGUUUUCACACGGGGCAUUCCUGCCUUCUCCUCAGAGGCAGCCGGCAAGCCACAGUGCCAGCACCUGGGCCCCUGCCCCCCUACCGCCGGGACGAUUGUAUCAAAACAAAUGUAUUUUAACAUCAGAGCACUUUGUGGGCCAGAGGAGUUGGGCAGCCAAUUAGAGGGAAUCCUGAGAAGGCGGCUGCCAUUAGAAGAGAGGCCAAUCUCAGAGCAGUACGGAAACACGUGGCUGACCAAGUGUCACAAAAUGGUGGCUCCCGUCUGUGGAAUUCAAGCUGGAACAAAAUGGCGCCUCCGCCGGCUCAUGAAAUGGCGGCUCCUCACCCUGGGAUGCAGACUGGAACAAAAUGGCGCCUCCCUGUGUAGGUAGGUGGGAGGGAUUUUCUGUCCUGUCCCAUCCUACCGGCGGGCGGGCCCAGUAGCUCUGGGUCCUCCCCUUCACCCGCAGCUCUAUCCCUGCCCUGGCACGCACUCCUCCCAGCGCCUCCAGCUGGUAGCCGGGAAGAACGGCAGGCUGGAGGAACCGCUGUUCUGAGCAGCUACAGGCGCCGGCCGUGCUGCCCGGCGGCUCUCCGGCCGAGCGGCUGGAGGUGCUCUGCUGUGCAUCACGCGUAGCUGAACGAGCCCAAAUCCAGAAUUCGGGGCAUGUGGGAAGAUGCUAGGCAUGGCUUUUGAGGAGUGGUUUUCCGCACCGGCUCGGUUUUCUGCCAAGCCUCCACCCUCUUGAAGCUCCCCCAACCGCUGAUGUGCCAGUGGCUUUUCUGCAGACUGGGAAAGGGCAGGUCGCUGACAUGGCCUUGUGCUUACGUUGGACCGUUUCUAUUCCCCCUGAAAGUCAAAUUCUUUAUUGUGUUAGCUGGCAGGAAGGAACGCCCUGCCCAUUUCACAUCUACCCCUUUAGGAAUACAGGCAUACGUUUAACUGCUCGACCUAGCUGCCUGUGUGCCUGUUAUGUGUACUUGUUGCUGCUUAACCUGGCAGAAAACCGAACACCACGCAGUCUCCCCAGCUGCGGUGGGGAAAGUAUCGGAAGGAUGAAACUGGGAGCACACACGGGUUUAGGCAAAGACCGUUUACUCGGUAAAAGAAAACCCACGCCUGCAAGCCAAGGGAAACAUUUGCCACUUCUCUUUAAUGGGCAAGCAUCCAGCCACUUCUAGGAUCCCAGGGCUCAGUGCACAUCACAAGCUCUUCUCUCGUUCUGUAUGCAGUGUAGCUGAUGGGAAGGUUAAGAAAAGCUUUGCUUACCUUUAUGAAGUUCUUUGUGCGUUUCAACGUAUGCGUAAUUGGUAUAUAUAGCUGUGUCAGGCUGACGUUGGCCAGCAGCCUGGUGCUGUCCGAUCUGUGUCCCGUGCCAUCUUCUGGUGCACUCCCAGCCUCCUUGCGGGCAGGGUGCCGUAAGAAGCAGAAAAGUCCUGGGCUCUGUGUGGGCGCUGCUCUGCAACAAGAGCAGGAACUGCAGCAUGGAUGUGUUGGCACCACCAUUUUGGUCAAGAAAUGCAAAAGAGCCCGUCAAACUGUACGAGGCGGUACGAGGAAAAGGAGCAGUAUCCCAGACAACUGCCGAGUGUAGUAUAGCAGUACGGUACAGAGAGUAGUCCGGCAUCUAGUGUAGCUACGUAGCAAUGGAGAAAAUAUUUUCAAUUACACUGAUCAAGUCCUUUCUAUAAUUCUGGACCUGAAUACAUUGUAGAGAUUGCUGAGGUGGGCUGGCCUCGGCCAGCAGCCCAAUGCGCACCCAGCUACCGUCUCACUCAGUGUCCUCAACGGGACGGAGUAGGGUACAGGACGGGAAUUCUCGUGGGUCAAGAUAAGGCUAGGGAGCUCGCUCACCAGAGGCGGAGCAGAACAGACGUGGGGGAAGCUGCUUGAUGUCACUGCACAUUUUUGGACGUUGGACAUUUUGGAGCAUUUGGAUGGUGAGAAACGAAAGCACCAGACCGCCCUGAACUUCUUCCCCGAGCUCAAACGCCCUCCUUCACGCGUGAGUCCUGACCUCCCCGCAGCGUGAGAGGUGCAGGGGUCGGGGCCGGUAGCGGUCAGUCCCUCCACAGCUCUGCUCUGCCACUCCAUCCUUCCUCCUCACGCUUCUCCGCUGUACCUGUGUGGGCUCUGAGCAGGCUGCAGCAUCCCUUGGGGUAUAGCGGCGUGCCCGCCGCCUCCAGCAGGGGCUGCGGGAGAGUCUCUGAGAGUCCUAGUGCUUGGAGCACCUCCUUCUUUUUCUCCUCCUGCCCAUGCUUUGUCUCCGCUCUUUGCUCGGGCGCCACCUCCUCCUCCUCACGCUCCGCCUCCUUCUCCUCCUCCCUCUCCACCGCGCGCUCCUCAGCAUCUCUCCUCGGCAUUCACGCGGCUGUUUCUCACGCUUUUCCACCCUCUUUCCCCACUGCUGGGCAGCAUCCUGCCCCGUCUCGCCCUUUCCCAGGCACGUUUUGCCCAGGACGCCUCCACCUUGCGUGCAGGGCUCAGUUGUGCCUUGUGGCAGUGCCGCUGGAGCUGGGUGGAAACGGCUGGUUUUCACACGGGGCAUUCCUGCCUUCUCCUCAGAGGCAGCCGGCAAGCCACAGUGCCAGCACCUGGGCCCCUGCCCCCCUACCGCCGGGACGAUUGUAUCAAAACAAAUGUAUUUUAACAUCAGAGCACUUUGUGGGCCAGAGGAGUUGGGCAGCCAAUUAGAGGGAAUCCUGAGAAGGCGGCUGCCAUUAGAAGAGAGGCCAAUCUCAGAGCAGUACGGAAACACGUGGCUGACCAAGUGUCACAAAAUGGUGGCUCCCGUCUGUGGAAUUCAAGCUGGAACAAAAUGGCGCCUCCGCCGGCUCAUGAAAUGGCGGCUCCUCACCCUGGGAUGCAGACUGGAACAAAAUGGCGCCUCCCUGUGUAGGUAGGUGGGAGGGAUUUUCUGUCCUGUCCCAUCCUACCGGCGGGCGGGCCCAGUAGCUCUGGGUCCUCCCCUUCACCCGCAGCUCUAUCCCUGCCCUGGCACGCACUCCUCCCAGCGCCUCCAGCUGGUAGCCGGGAAGAACGGCAGGCUGGAGGAACCGCUGUUCUGAGCAGCUACAGGCGCCGGCCGUGCUGCCCGGCGGCUCUCCGGCCGAGCGGCUGGAGGUGCUCUGCUGUGCAUCACGCGUAGCUGAACGAGCCCAAAUCCAGAAUUCGGGGCAUGUGGGAAGAUGCUAGGCAUGGCUUUUGAGGAGUGGUUUUCCGCACCGGCUCGGUUUUCUGCCAAGCCUCCACCCUCUUGAAGCUCCCCCAACCGCUGAUGUGCCAGUGGCUUUUCUGCAGACUGGGAAAGGGCAGGUCGCUGACAUGGCCUUGUGCUUACGUUGGACCGUUUCUAUUCCCCCUGAAAGUCAAAUUCUUUAUUGUGUUAGCUGGCAGGAAGGAACGCCCUGCCCAUUUCACAUCUACCCCUUUAGGAAUACAGGCAUACGUUUAACUGCUCGACCUAGCUGCCUGUGUGCCUGUUAUGUGUACUUGUUGCUGCUUAACCUGGCAGAAAACCGAACACCACGCAGUCUCCCCAGCUGCGGUGGGGAAAGUAUCGGAAGGAUGAAACUGGGAGCACACACGGGUUUAGGCAAAGACCGUUUACUCGGUAAAAGAAAACCCACGCCUGCAAGCCAAGGGAAACAUUUGCCACUUCUCUUUAAUGGGCAAGCAUCCAGCCACUUCUAGGAUCCCAGGGCUCAGUGCACAUCACAAGCUCUUCUCUCGUUCUGUAUGCAGUGUAGCUGAUGGGAAGGUUAAGAAAAGCUUUGCUUACCUUUAUGAAGUUCUUUGUGCGUUUCAACGUAUGCGUAAUUGGUAUAUAUAGCUGUGUCAGGCUGACGUUGGCCAGCAGCCUGGUGCUGUCCGAUCUGUGUCCCGUGCCAUCUUCUGGUGCACUCCCAGCCUCCUUGCGGGCAGGGUGCCGUAAGAAGCAGAAAAGUCCUGGGCUCUGUGUGGGCGCUGCUCUGCAACAAGAGCAGGAACUGCAGCAUGGAUGUGUUGGCACCACCAUUUUGGUCAAGAAAUGCAAAAGAGCCCGUCAAACUGUACGAGGCGGUACGAGGAAAAGGAGCAGUAUCCCAGACAACUGCCGAGUGUAGUAUAGCAGUACGGUACAGAGAGUAGUCCGGCAUCUAGUGUAGCUACGUAGCAAUGGAGAAAAUAUUUUCAAUUACACUGAUCAAGUCCUUUCUAUAAUUCUGGACCUGAAUACAUUGUAGAGAUUGCUGAGGUGGGCUGGCCUCGGCCAGCAGCCCAAUGCGCACCCAGCUACCGUCUCACUCAGUGUCCUCAACGGGACGGAGUAGGGUACAGGACGGGAAUUCUCGUGGGUCAAGAUAAGGCUAGGGAGCUCGCUCACCAGAGGCGGAGCAGAACAGACGUGGGGGAAGCUGCUUGAUGUCACUGCACAUUUUUGGACGUUGGACAUUUUGGAGCAUUUGGAUGGUGAGAAACGAAAGCACCAGACCGCCCUGAACUUCUUCCCCGAGCUCAAACGCCCUCCUUCACGCGUGAGUCCUGACCUCCCCGCAGCGUGAGAGGUGCAGGGGUCGGGGCCGGUAGCGGUCAGUCCCUCCACAGCUCUGCUCUGCCACUCCAUCCUUCCUCCUCACGCUUCUCCGCUGUACCUGUGUGGGCUCUGAGCAGGCUGCAGCAUCCCUUGGGGUAUAGCGGCGUGCCCGCCGCCUCCAGCAGGGGCUGCGGGAGAGUCUCUGAGAGUCCUAGUGCUUGGAGCACCUCCUUCUUUUUCUCCUCCUGCCCAUGCUUUGUCUCCGCUCUUUGCUCGGGCGCCACCUCCUCCUCCUCACGCUCCGCCUCCUUCUCCUCCUCCCUCUCCACCGCGCGCUCCUCAGCAUCUCUCCUCGGCAUUCACGCGGCUGUUUCUCACGCUUUUCCACCCUCUUUCCCCACUGCUGGGCAGCAUCCUGCCCCGUCUCGCCCUUUCCCAGGCACGUUUUGCCCAGGACGCCUCCACCUUGCGUGCAGGGCUCAGUUGUGCCUUGUGGCAGUGCCGCUGGAGCUGGGUGGAAACGGCUGGUUUUCACACGGGGCAUUCCUGCCUUCUCCUCAGAGGCAGCCGGCAAGCCACAGUGCCAGCACCUGGGCCCCUGCCCCCCUACCGCCGGGACGAUUGUAUCAAAACAAAUGUAUUUUAACAUCAGAGCACUUUGUGGGCCAGAGGAGUUGGGCAGCCAAUUAGAGGGAAUCCUGAGAAGGCGGCUGCCAUUAGAAGAGAGGCCAAUCUCAGAGCAGUACGGAAACACGUGGCUGACCAAGUGUCACAAAAUGGUGGCUCCCGUCUGUGGAAUUCAAGCUGGAACAAAAUGGCGCCUCCGCCGGCUCAUGAAAUGGCGGCUCCUCACCCUGGGAUGCAGACUGGAACAAAAUGGCGCCUCCCUGUGUAGGUAGGUGGGAGGGAUUUUCUGUCCUGUCCCAUCCUACCGGCGGGCGGGCCCAGUAGCUCUGGGUCCUCCCCUUCACCCGCAGCUCUAUCCCUGCCCUGGCACGCACUCCUCCCAGCGCCUCCAGCUGGUAGCCGGGAAGAACGGCAGGCUGGAGGAACCGCUGUUCUGAGCAGCUACAGGCGCCGGCCGUGCUGCCCGGCGGCUCUCCGGCCGAGCGGCUGGAGGUGCUCUGCUGUGCAUCACGCGUAGCUGAACGAGCCCAAAUCCAGAAUUCGGGGCAUGUGGGAAGAUGCUAGGCAUGGCUUUUGAGGAGUGGUUUUCCGCACCGGCUCGGUUUUCUGCCAAGCCUCCACCCUCUUGAAGCUCCCCCAACCGCUGAUGUGCCAGUGGCUUUUCUGCAGACUGGGAAAGGGCAGGUCGCUGACAUGGCCUUGUGCUUACGUUGGACCGUUUCUAUUCCCCCUGAAAGUCAAAUUCUUUAUUGUGUUAGCUGGCAGGAAGGAACGCCCUGCCCAUUUCACAUCUACCCCUUUAGGAAUACAGGCAUACGUUUAACUGCUCGACCUAGCUGCCUGUGUGCCUGUUAUGUGUACUUGUUGCUGCUUAACCUGGCAGAAAACCGAACACCACGCAGUCUCCCCAGCUGCGGUGGGGAAAGUAUCGGAAGGAUGAAACUGGGAGCACACACGGGUUUAGGCAAAGACCGUUUACUCGGUAAAAGAAAACCCACGCCUGCAAGCCAAGGGAAACAUUUGCCACUUCUCUUUGAUGGGCAAGCAUCCAGCCACUUCUAGGAUCCCAGGGCUCAGUGCACAUCACAAGCUCUUCUCUCGUUCUGUAUGCAGUGUAGCUGAUGGGAAGGUUAAGAAAAGCUUUGCUUACCUUUAUGAAGUUCUUUGUGCGUUUCAACGUAUGCGUAAUUGGUAUAUAUAGCUGUGUCAGGCUGACGUUGGCCAGCAGCCUGGUGCUGUCCGAUCUGUGUCCCGUGCCAUCUUCUGGUGCACUCCCAGCCUCCUUGCGGGCAGGGUGCCGUAAGAAGCAGAAAAGUCCUGGGCUCUGUGUGGGCGCUGCUCUGCAACAAGAGCAGGAACUGCAGCAUGGAUGUGUUGGCACCACCAUUUUGGUCAAGAAAUGCAAAAGAGCCCGUCAAACUGUACGAGGCGGUACGAGGAAAAGGAGCAGUAUCCCAGACAACUGCCGAGUGUAGUAUAGCAGUACGGUACAGAGAGUAGUCCGGCAUCUAGUGUAGCUACGUAGCAAUGGAGAAAAUAUUUUCAAUUACACUGAUCAAGUCCUUUCUAUAAUUCUGGACCUGAAUACAUUGUAGAGAUUGCUGAGGUGGGCUGGCCUCGGCCAGCAGCCCAAUGCGCACCCAGCUACCGUCUCACUCAGUGUCCUCAACGGGACGGAGUAGGGUACAGGACGGGAAUUCUCGUGGGUCAAGAUAAGGCUAGGGAGCUCGCUCACCAGAGGCGGAGCAGAACAGACGUGGGGGAAGCUGCUUGAUGUCACUGCACAUUUUUGGACGUUGGACAUUUUGGAGCAUUUGGAUGGUGAGAAACGAAAGCACCAGACCGCCCUGAACUUCUUCCCCGAGCUCAAACGCCCUCCUUCACGCGUGAGUCCUGACCUCCCCGCAGCGUGAGAGGUGCAGGGGUCGGGGCCGGUAGCGGUCAGUCCCUCCACAGCUCUGCUCUGCCACUCCAUCCUUCCUCCUCACGCUUCUCCGCUGUACCUGUGUGGGCUCUGAGCAGGCUGCAGCAUCCCUUGGGGUAUAGCGGCGUGCCCGCCGCCUCCAGCAGGGGCUGCGGGAGAGUCUCUGAGAGUCCUAGUGCUUGGAGCACCUCCUUCUUUUUCUCCUCCUGCCCAUGCUUUGUCUCCGCUCUUUGCUCGGGCGCCACCUCCUCCUCCUCACGCUCCGCCUCCUUCUCCUCCUCCCUCUCCACCGCGCGCUCCUCAGCAUCUCUCCUCGGCAUUCACGCGGCUGUUUCUCACGCUUUUCCACCCUCUUUCCCCACUGCUGGGCAGCAUCCUGCCCCGUCUCGCCCUUUCCCAGGCACGUUUUGCCCAGGACGCCUCCACCUUGCGUGCAGGGCUCAGUUGUGCCUUGUGGCAGUGCCGCUGGAGCUGGGUGGAAACGGCUGGUUUUCACACGGGGCAUUCCUGCCUUCUCCUCAGAGGCAGCCGGCAAGCCACAGUGCCAGCACCUGGGCCCCUGCCCCCCUACCGCCGGGACGAUUGUAUCAAAACAAAUGUAUUUUAACAUCAGAGCACUUUGUGGGCCAGAGGAGUUGGGCAGCCAAUUAGAGGGAAUCCUGAGAAGGCGGCUGCCAUUAGAAGAGAGGCCAAUCUCAGAGCAGUACGGAAACACGUGGCUGACCAAGUGUCACAAAAUGGUGGCUCCCGUCUGUGGAAUUCAAGCUGGAACAAAAUGGCGCCUCCGCCGGCUCAUGAAAUGGCGGCUCCUCACCCUGGGAUGCAGACUGGAACAAAAUGGCGCCUCCCUGUGUAGGUAGGUGGGAGGGAUUUUCUGUCCUGUCCCAUCCUACCGGCGGGCGGGCCCAGUAGCUCUGGGUCCUCCCCUUCACCCGCAGCUCUAUCCCUGCCCUGGCACGCACUCCUCCCAGCGCCUCCAGCUGGUAGCCGGGAAGAACGGCAGGCUGGAGGAACCGCUGUUCUGAGCAGCUACAGGCGCCGGCCGUGCUGCCCGGCGGCUCUCCGGCCGAGCGGCUGGAGGUGCUCUGCUGUGCAUCACGCGUAGCUGAACGAGCCCAAAUCCAGAAUUCGGGGCAUGUGGGAAGAUGCUAGGCAUGGCUUUUGAGGAGUGGUUUUCCGCACCGGCUCGGUUUUCUGCCAAGCCUCCACCCUCUUGAAGCUCCCCCAACCGCUGAUGUGCCAGUGGCUUUUCUGCAGACUGGGAAAGGGCAGGUCGCUGACAUGGCCUUGUGCUUACGUUGGACCGUUUCUAUUCCCCCUGAAAGUCAAAUUCUUUAUUGUGUUAGCUGGCAGGAAGGAACGCCCUGCCCAUUUCACAUCUACCCCUUUAGGAAUACAGGCAUACGUUUAACUGCUCGACCUAGCUGCCUGUGUGCCUGUUAUGUGUACUUGUUGCUGCUUAACCUGGCAGAAAACCGAACACCACGCAGUCUCCCCAGCUGCGGUGGGGAAAGUAUCGGAAGGAUGAAACUGGGAGCACACACGGGUUUAGGCAAAGACCGUUUACUCGGUAAAAGAAAACCCACGCCUGCAAGCCAAGGGAAACAUUUGCCACUUCUCUUUAAUGGGCAAGCAUCCAGCCACUUCUAGGAUCCCAGGGCUCAGUGCACAUCACAAGCUCUUCUCUCGUUCUGUAUGCAGUGUAGCUGAUGGGAAGGUUAAGAAAAGCUUUGCUUACCUUUAUGAAGUUCUUUGUGCGUUUCAACGUAUGCGUAAUUGGUAUAUAUAGCUGUGUCAGGCUGACGUUGGCCAGCAGCCUGGUGCUGUCCGAUCUGUGUCCCGUGCCAUCUUCUGGUGCACUCCCAGCCUCCUUGCGGGCAGGGUGCCGUAAGAAGCAGAAAAGUCCUGGGCUCUGUGUGGGCGCUGCUCUGCAACAAGAGCAGGAACUGCAGCAUGGAUGUGUUGGCACCACCAUUUUGGUCAAGAAAUGCAAAAGAGCCCGUCAAACUGUACGAGGCGGUACGAGGAAAAGGAGCAGUAUCCCAGACAACUGCCGAGUGUAGUAUAGCAGUACGGUACAGAGAGUAGUCCGGCAUCUAGUGUAGCUACGUAGCAAUGGAGAAAAUAUUUUCAAUUACACUGAUCAAGUCCUUUCUAUAAUUCUGGACCUGAAUACAUUGUAGAGAUUGCUGAGGUGGGCUGGCCUCGGCCAGCAGCCCAAUGCGCACCCAGCUACCGUCUCACUCAGUGUCCUCAACGGGACGGAGUAGGGUACAGGACGGGAAUUCUCGUGGGUCAAGAUAAGGCUAGGGAGCUCGCUCACCAGAGGCGGAGCAGAACAGACGUGGGGGAAGCUGCUUGAUGUCACUGCACAUUUUUGGACGUUGGACAUUUUGGAGCAUUUGGAUGGUGAGAAACGAAAGCACCAGACCGCCCUGAACUUCUUCCCCGAGCUCAAACGCCCUCCUUCACGCGUGAGUCCUGACCUCCCCGCAGCGUGAGAGGUGCAGGGGUCGGGGCCGGUAGCGGUCAGUCCCUCCACAGCUCUGCUCUGCCACUCCAUCCUUCCUCCUCACGCUUCUCCGCUGUACCUGUGUGGGCUCUGAGCAGGCUGCAGCAUCCCUUGGGGUAUAGCGGCGUGCCCGCCGCCUCCAGCAGGGGCUGCGGGAGAGUCUCUGAGAGUCCUAGUGCUUGGAGCACCUCCUUCUUUUUCUCCUCCUGCCCAUGCUUUGUCUCCGCUCUUUGCUCGGGCGCCACCUCCUCCUCCUCACGCUCCGCCUCCUUCUCCUCCUCCCUCUCCACCGCGCGCUCCUCAGCAUCUCUCCUCGGCAUUCACGCGGCUGUUUCUCACGCUUUUCCACCCUCUUUCCCCACUGCUGGGCAGCAUCCUGCCCCGUCUCGCCCUUUCCCAGGCACGUUUUGCCCAGGACGCCUCCACCUUGCGUGCAGGGCUCAGUUGUGCCUUGUGGCAGUGCCGCUGGAGCUGGGUGGAAACGGCUGGUUUUCACACGGGGCAUUCCUGCCUUCUCCUCAGAGGCAGCCGGCAAGCCACAGUGCCAGCACCUGGGCCCCUGCCCCCCUACCGCCGGGAC